rnacentral:rRNA from 1 species
UACGGGGGGGUGCGAGCGUUGUCCGGAAUCACUGGGCGUAAAGGGCGCGUAGGCGGCUCGGUCAGCGUGCGGUGAAAGCCCGGGGCUCAACCCCGGGUCGGCCGUGCGAACUGCUGGGCUGGAGCACUGUAGAGGCAGGUGGAAUUCCGGGUGUAGCGGUGGAAUGCGUAGAGAUCCGGAAGAACACCGGUGGCGAAGGCGGCCUGCUGGGCAGUAGCUGACGCUGAUGCGCGACAGCGUGGGGAGCAAACAGG